rnacentral:rRNA from 1 species
CACGUAGGGUGCAAGCGUUGUCCGGAAUCAUUGGGCGUAAAGAGCUCGUAGGCGGCUUAGUAAGUCGGGUGUGAAAACCCCAGGCUCAACCUGGGGACGCCACCCGAUACUGCUAUAGCUAGAGUCCAGUAGGGGAGUGUGGAAUUCCCAGUGUAGCGGUGAAAUGCGCAGAUAUUGGGAGGAACACCAGCGGCGAAGGCGGCACUCUGGGCUGGUAUUGACGCUGAUGCGCGAAAGCCAGGGGAGCAAACGGG